AAGAGGAUUUGAUCCUGGUCCAGGAUGAACGCUGGCGGUGUGGAUUAGGCAUGCAAGUCGCACGGUCCCGCAAGGGAUAGUGGCGAACGAGUUAGGAACACCUUGGCAACCUUCCCCCGAGAUAGGGAUAGCUCGUCGAAAGACGGGGUAAUACCUGAUGGUCCCUGAGAGCAUAAGCUUGAAGGGUAAACCCGCAAGGGGCUUGGGGAUGGGCCUAGGCCUGAUCAGCUAGUUGGUAGGGUAACGGCCUACCAAGGCUAUGACCAGUAGGGGAGCUGAGAGGCUGUUCCCCAACGGGGGCACUGAGACACGGGCCCCACUCCUACGGGAGGCAGCAGUCGAGAAUAUUCCACAAUGGGCGAAAGCCUGAUGGAGCGACACCGCGUAAAGGAAGAAGCUCUUCGGAGUGUAAACUUUUUUUAAUGGAGAAGAAGUCGCCGCAAGGCGACUGACGGUACCCAUGGAAUAAGGCGCGACAAACUACGUGCCAGCAGUAGCGGUAAUACGUAGGCGUCAAGCGUUAUCCGGAUUUACUGGGCGUAAAGCGUUCGCAGGCGGUCGCCAUACUUCGGUAUGUCCUGAAGGAGAUUUUUCUCCUGAAGGAUCAAGUCUGAUGUUUAAUCCCAUGGCUCAACCAUGGAACCGCAUCAGAUACUGGACGACUUGAGGGAGGUAGAGGCUGAUAGAACGCACGGUGUAGGGGUGAUAUCCGUUGAUAUCGUGCGGAAUACCAAAAGCGAAAGCAGUCAGCUGGGCCUUUCCUGACGCUGCUCGAACGAAAGCGUGGGGAGCAAAAAGGGUUAGAUAUCCUUGUAGUCCACGCCCUAAACAAUGCAGACUAGCCAUUGGGAGCAUCGACCCUUUCAGUGGCGUAGCUAACGCGGUAAGUCUGCCGCCUGGGAAGUACGGCCGCAAGGCUAAAACUCAAAGGAAUAGACGGGGACUCGCACAAGCGGAGGAUCAUGAGGUUUAAUUCGAUGAUAAGCGAGGCACCUCACCAGGGCUUGACAUCUUAGCCGAAUACAUUUCCCGAAAGGGAGAAGCGAUCGCUUUUAGCGAUAGGCUAGGACAGGUGCUGCAUGGUUGUCGUCAGCUCGUGCCGUGAGGCGUUCCCUUCAGUGGGGUAACGAGCGCAACCCUUGCUCUGUGUUACAAGUGUCACAGAGGACAGUCCCGCAUUACGGGAAGGAAGUGGGGAUGACGCCAAAUCAGCAUGGCCCUUUGAUGCCCUGGGCGACACUCAUGGUACAAUGGUGUGUACAACGCGUUGCCAAGCCGCGAGGCGGAGCUAAUCGCAUCAAAACACACCUCAGUUCAGAUUGGGGGCUGCAACUCGCCCCCAUGAAGCUGGAUUCGCUAGUAAACGCGCAUCAGCCACGACGCGUUGAAUACGUUCUCGAGUCCUGUACUCACCGCCCGUCAAGCCAAGGAAGCUAGGAGCUACAAAAGCUCGCCGUAAGGCGAAUUAUGUAGAGCUUGGUGACAAGGGCUAAGUCGUAACAAGGCAUCCCUAGCGGAAGCUGGGGAUGGAAAAUUUCUU
rnacentral:rRNA from 1 species